CUCGUGGGAAGAGCUUAUGUGCAGAGGGCGGGAGUGUGGUGCUGUGUGUUGUUCGCGCCGUCGUGCGUGCUUGGUCGCUGGUUCUUGACUCGUCGCGGGCUAGUACCGGCGGCGGCGACGGUGCCGGUGCGGCAGCCGGUAGCGCGGCGGCCCGGGCGCAGAGGAGGGAGUAGCCCGUAGCGGUCCGAGUGCGUCUUCCCACUGCGGCGACGGCGCCACCCAGCGCAGGCGCAGGCGCAGGUUCUCGGCUCGGGGCUCCGGCGCCGGGCGCAGCGGCCGCCGCAGCAGCAGCUACGUGCGCUGCUAGUUCAGGCCCUCAUCUGGUCCCCACUCCCUCAUGCACCUCCGACGCGUCCUCUACCGCGCCGCCGGCCUGCCGCCCGGCGGCUCCACCAAGCGCGGCGAGCCCACGCGGCCGCCGCUCGCGCAGGGGCCGCGCGGCUGCGACGAGAUGAACGGACCGUAGCUACCUCAACCUAAUCCCGAGUAGGCCGUGGUGCUCUCUAAUCGUUUUUACAAGCUGCAAACCACGAACGUAUAUGGGCAGGUUCUGGCGUGCUGGAAGGUUCCAGAACAACUCAUGCACCUCUCCUGUCACUUUAGUCUCUCCAGUGCCCGUGGCCUGUCUGGUCAGAUAGAACAACCUCUUAGGUAGCCUCGCACGUAACGAGAGCGGCACCGCCGCGCCUUGGCUCUGCAGCUAAACCAUAACCAGGAUCAGUUGGGUCCUUGUAGAAAGGUGUCCAGUGUCGACGUCAGAGAGAGUCGUAAGGACCUAAACCAGGGACUAGGUAAGGUAAAUUCGUGAGGCGUCAAGAAUUUAAAGGAGUGUCCGUUGAAGUACUUCUACAGAGGUUCUAAACUACUUCGACCAGUCCGUAACAGUCUCCAGUGGUGACCAAACGACGGAAGAGAGUACAUGGACUGACUAUAAAACGGUUUCCUUAGGUAACACACCUUCAACUUUUACAACUCCUGCCGCCGUAGUAUACAGUUAAGAGCGAAUGUACGUCAGUUUCGGGUCUGGGACCACCAACGAUCACCUUUACUACUUGACGACGGUUCGGCGCUGCUCCGACUUUCCGAUGCACGGUUCGAUUUCUUGACGUCUUAGGCAGUGAAGUCCCUGUUACCGGUGUUUUAGAACGACCUUCUACCCAAACUAGAUCGCUGUUCGUAAUUUCCUAGAUGUAUGAUAGCGGCGAGGUCCGUCGGUCUGAAACAAAGUCUGAUAGAUGGCGGUUGAGGGCUACUCGAGCUUUUCCGCUAACUAGUGCUGUCCGAGGACUUAAAACGGUGACUGGGCCACUACGAUAGCUGUGACUGACUACCCUCCUAUCACUCCCCUGACCGUCCCGACGGUUCCCUCCCGGGACAGGACAAGCAACCCAUGGUGUACGAGUACCCCAAACUCGAACCUGGGAACCAGUGUCCUCACGACUUUUCGUGACCUUAGGUGUAGGCGCCGAAUCGCGUAGGUAAGAACAAGUUGCUCUCAAGUCUCGUCGAGUACGGCCUAUGCAGCAUAAAGCUAGAGGGGGCCUAGUACCCACGCCACGGACAAUGGCCCCACUUGAAAAUGUUCGAGGAAAGUCUCUUCGUCAAGCACGACGACAAGGGCCCUCCGCGCGCACUUCGAGAAGUAUCCUUCCCCCUCCUUAUGUUCGACAAAACCGGACUCGUUAGACUCAAGCACGCCUACCGCAGUUCCAAACCUCGUUGUUAGCAUGGUAAACCUCACCAGCCUCUUCUACUAUAUACACUAAACAACAAUCUGAUGUUACUAGAACACUUCGAGGGUAAAAUACUGUGGUAACUGUUCUUCUAUUUACUUCCACCAGAUUCUUUCGAUUCCUGACUAAGAUGCCCUCUCUAUUUUUUGGUUCUAUACGUAGGACAUCACGAAUGCGGUUUUCACGGUCCCUCCAAAAUGAAGUAGAAACCCUUCGGAUAACUUUGUUCUCCCUCCCUCUUCCUCGAUUCUCUGUUUCUCUUCCGGGUCGUGGACAUAAACGUACAGUUUAGACUUCACCUCUCGACGUAGUUCAUAGACUUCCUCUUCUCUCUCCUCCUAGGGAUGUCCUCGUAUGACGGGUCCGAAGACAUAGUCCGUUGAGUACCAAGACUACGUCUUUAUGGGUGUAAACUUGGGACUCCGACUCUUCUCGUGAAGGUCUUGUGAUAAUCAAUCCUGGGUUUGGUUAACAAAUAUAAGAAGCACAAUUGUAAAAUGUAUGUAUCAAUAAACAAUAAUUAAAUGGAUUUCUAUUAACAUCAAAUAAGUAAAAAAAGUCCCUUUAAUAUCAACAGCCUCACAUUUGAGGCCUGUGGUCCCUAGUUCCUAUGGGACAUAAACGCACAAGCCAUUUCCGAGAUCCAAAGAGACUCAUUCGCCGUUUAAAACAAAGCGAGAUAAACUUGGACCAAUCAAUCCCUGGAAUAAGCUUUUCUUGUAAAGUCUUAGGUAGGUUAAAAAUACUUUAAAGGCUUUUUCCCAAAAAGGGGCGAAAUAUAAUAUUUCGUUGAAGGUAGCUAGUGUUCUAUUGACUACUCCGUUUGUCGUGUAGUUCGGAUUUUCUCUUUCUUUCUUCUUGAUUUACAGUUGUUGCCGUCGAGCUGUUUCGUGCUUACUAGGUGGUGGCAACCCGGGAAGUCUAAGCAGGGUGGCGUGUUCCGAGGCUUGGCGGCGCAUGGUUCUUCGUGGAGGUUCUUCCCUACGCUGCAGUUACUGCGACGACGAGCCUACACAGGAUUCCAAGGGGGUCCGUGCGCUUUUCCUCACGCCCUACCCAUUGUGGCUGCGGGAAGUCCUUCCUUUGCGCCGUGGGCGUCCGCUGUGGCGCAGCCGCGGCCUACUUGGCCGUGCCUAAAGAGGGCGUGGGGUUGGUGGUGAUGGGCGGGCUAAGCCUCGGUUGGUCGGUCGAACGGUGGGCGGUCAUAUGCGGUGGUGCCAGAACUUUAGUAGAUACGGCGGAGUGACUCUAGCGGUAGUGCUCCGGAUCUCCUACCUCUCUCCUUGCGGCCCUUAACCCUCCCCGUCGUAACCUCGGCGCGGCCUCCCUUGGCGGAGGUGACGGUAGCACGGGCUCCGGACACGGAGGUUGUGGCAGCGCCAUCGGCUGGCCUGCGCUGUCGUCUCCGUGUGGUACGAUGGGCCCGGGCGUUUCGGAGGGAUGCGGGGUUGAGGUGGAGAUCCCCCGAGGCGGCGGGUACUCUUCGGGGCCGGGUCUAGACCCGGCUCGUCCGCGAUGGUAGGGCGUCGUGGCGCUUCGAGGCGGCGCGUCGGUUGGAGGGAGUGGGCGCGGUCCAACGGGGCGGCGGACUCGCGUGGUGGUCCUCUGCGCGGAGGG
rnacentral:rRNA from 1 species